rnacentral:rRNA from 1 species
GCAGUAGCCGCGGGAAUACGUAGGGUGCAAGCGUUAAUCGGAAUUACUGGGCGUAAAGCGUGCGCAGGCGGUUAUAUAAGACAGAUGUGAAAUCCCCGGGCUCAACCUGGGAACUGCAUUUGUGACUGUAUAGCUAGAGUACGGCAGAGGGGGAUGGAAUUCCGCGUGUAGCAGUGAAAUGCGUAGAUAUGCGGAGGAACACCGAUGGCGAAGGCAAUCCCCUGGGCCUGUACUGACGCUCAUACACGAAAGCGUGGGGAGCAAACAGGAUUAGAUACCCCUGUAGUCCCUGUCUCUUAUAC